CAGCCGCCACGGUAAUACGAAGGGGGCUAGCGUUGCUCGGAAUGACUGGGCGUAAAGGGCGCGUAGGCGGUUUUGACAGUCAGAUGUGAAAUUCCUGGGCUUAACCUGGGGGCUGCAUUUGAGACGUCAAGACUAGAGUGUGAGAGAGGGUUGUGGAAUUCCCAGUGUAGAGGUGAAAUUCGUAGAUAUUGGGAAGAACACCGGUGGCGAAGGCGGCAACCUGGCUCAUUACUGACGCUGAGGCGCGAAAGCGUGGGGAGCAAACAGAAUUAGAUACCCCCGUAGUCCCUGUCUCUUAUAC
rnacentral:rRNA from 1 species